rnacentral:rRNA from 1 species
ACUAACGAGAGUUUGAUCCUGGCUCAGAAUCAACGCUGGCGGCGUGCCUCAGACAUGCAAGUCGAACGAUUAAAGCUCUCUUCGGAGAGUGUAUAGAGUGGCGCACGGGUGAGUAACACGUAAGUAAUC